rnacentral:rRNA from 1 species
GACGAACGCUGGCGGCGUGCUUAACACAUGCAAGUCGAACGGAAAGGCCCUGCUUUUGUGGGGUGCUCGAGUGGCGAACGGGUGAGUAACACGUGAGUAACCUGCCCUUGACUUUGGGAUAACUUCAGGAAACUGGGGCUAAUACCGGAUAGGAGCUCCUGCUGCAUGGUGGGGGUUGGAAAGUUUCGGCGGUUGGGGAUGGACUCGCGGCUUAUCAGCUUGUUGGUGGGGUAGUGGCUUACCAAGGCUUUGACGGGUAGCCGGCCUGAGAGGGUGACCGGCCACAUUGGGACUGAGAUACGGCCCCGACUCCUACGGGAGGCAGCAGUGGGGAAUAUUGCACAGUGGGCGGAAGCCUGAUGCAGCAACGCCGCGUGCGGGAUGACGGCCUUCGGGUUGUAAACCGCUUUCGCCUGUGACGAAGCGUGAGUGACGGUAAUGGGUAAAGAAGCACCGGCUAACUACGUG